CAGUAGCCGCGGGAAUACGAAGGGUGCAAGCGUUAAUCGGAAUUACUGGGCGUAAAGCGUGCGCAGGCGGUUUGUUAAGACAGAUGUGAAAUCCCCGGGCUCAACCUGGGAACUGCAUUUGUGACUGGCAAGCUAGAGUGUGGCAGAGGGGGGUGGAAUUCCGCGUGUAGCAGUGAAAUGCGUAGAUAUGCGGAGGAACACCGAUGGCGAAGGCAAUCCCCUGGGCCUGUACUGACGCUCAUGCACGAAAGCGUGGGGAGCAAACAGGAUUAGAUACCCCGGUAGUCCCUGUCUCUUAUAC
rnacentral:rRNA from 1 species